rnacentral:rRNA from 1 species
CUACGGGUUGCUGCAGUUAGGAAUAAUCUACAAUGCGCGCAAGCGUGAUAGUUUGAGCCAGAGUGCGUUUCUAUUGAAACGCUUUUGCCAAAUUUAAAAAGUUUGGCGAAUAAGGACUGGGUAAGACGAGUGCCAGCCGCCGCGGUAAUACUCGCGGUCCAAGUCGCAGCCAUUUUUAUUGGGUCUAAAACAUCCGUAGCUUGUUUUGUAAGUCUCUUGUGAAAUUUUGCAUCUUAAGUGCAAAGCGUGCAAGAGGUACUGCAAAACUAGAGACUGGAAGACGUGAGAAGUACGUUCGAAGUAUCAGUAAAAUGAGUUAAUCUCGGACGGACUCACAACAGCGAAGGCAUCUCACGAGGACAGUUCUGACAGUAAGGGAUGAAAGCUAGGGGCGCAAAACGGAUUAGAUACCCGGGUAGUC